AAGGUUUUAGUUUAAUUUUAGAAUAGUUGAUUUUUAAUCAGAAGGUGUUUGGCUUUA
rnacentral:tRNA from 1 species